ACAGUAGCGCAACGACAACUUAAAUAAAUCUAGAAAUAUAUGUUGUUGCAUUUUUAAAUUGAAGUGCAGACACAAUAUUGUAAAAUGAAGUUAUUUAGAUAAAACAGUAUAAAUAACAGCAGCGCAACAGUAACUUCAUAAACAAAUCUAGAAAUAUUUUAUUA